GUGCCAGCAGCCGCGGUAAUACGUAGGGGGCGAGCGUUGUCCGGAUUCAUUGGGCGUAAAGCGCGCGUAGGCGGCUUCGUAAGUCGGCCGUGAAAUCUCCAGGCUUAACUUGGAGGGGUCGGGCGAGACUGCGGAGCUCGAGGUGGGCAGAGGGCAGUGGAAUUCCGGGUGUAGUGGUGGAAUGCGUAGAGAUCCGGAGGAACACCAGUGGCGAAGGCGGCUGCCUGGGCCUGGCCUGACGCUGAGGCGCGAAAGCGUGGGGAGCGAUCCGGAUUAGAUACCCUGGUAGUCC
rnacentral:rRNA from 1 species